rnacentral:rRNA from 1 species
ACGAACGCUGGCGGCGUGCUUAACACAUGCCAGUCGAACGGAAAGGCCCUGCUUUUGUGGGGUGCUCGAGUGGCGAACGGGUGAGUAACACGUGAGUAACCUGCCCUUGACUUUGGGAUAACUUCAGGAAACUGGGGCUAAUACCGGAUAGGAGCUCCUGCUGCAUGGUGGGGGUUGGAAAGUUUCGGCGGUUGGGGAUGGACUCGCGGCUUAUCAGCUUGUUGGUGGGGUAGUGGCUUACCAAGGCUUUGACGGGUAGCCGGCCUGAGAGGGUGACCGGCCACAGUGGGACUGAGAUACGGCCCAGACUCCUACGGGAGGCAGCAGGGGGGAAUAUUGAACAAGGGGGGGAAGCCGGAGGCAGCAACGCCGCGUGGGGGAGGACGGCCUUCGGUUUGUAAACCGCUUUCGCCGGUGAAGAAGCGGGAGUGAGGGUAAGGGGUAAAGAAGCACCGGCUAACUACGUG